rnacentral:rRNA from 1 species
UACGUAGGGCGCAAGCGUUGUCCGGAAUUAUUAGGCGUAAAGAGCUCGUAGGCGGUUUGUCGCGUCUGCUGUGAAAACCUAAGGCUCAACCUUGGGCUUGCAGUGGGUACGGGCAGACUAGAGUGCGGUAGGGGUGACUGGAAUUCCUGGUGUAGCGGUGGAAUGCGCAGAUAUCAGGAGGAACACCGAUGGCGAAGGCAGGUCACUGGGCCGCAACUGACGCUGAGGAGCGAAAGCAUGGGGAGCGAACAGG